CAGCGCCACAAGUGGGGAUCCUGUUUAUUUGGCCUAAAGCGUCCGUAGCUGGUUUAGUAAAUCUUUUGUGAAAUCGUUAAGCUUAACUUAACGGCGUGCAGGAGAGACUGCUAAGCUAGGGACCGGGAGGAGUCAGAGGUAUGCUUGGGGGAGCGGUAAAAUGCUAUAAUCCCUAGUGGACCACCUAUGGCGAAGGCAUCUGACUAGAACGGGUCCGACAGUGAGGGACGAAAGCCAGGGGAGCGAACCGGAUUAGAUACCCGAGUAGUCC
rnacentral:rRNA from 1 species